UAACACGUGGGGAACCUGCCCAUAAGAGGGGGAUAACAUCCGGAAACGGGUGCUAAUACCGCAUAGGUGAUCAUAGCGCAUGCUUAGAUCAUUAAAGAUGGCUUCGGCUAUCGCUUAUGGAUGGCCCCGCGGCGUAUUAGCUAGUUGGUGAGGUAAUGGCUCACCAAGGCUGUGAUACGUAGCCGACCUGAGAGGGUGAUCGGCCACACUGGAACUGAGACACGGUCCAGACUCCUACGGGAGGCAGCAGUAGGGAAUCUUCCACAAUGGGCGAAAGCCUGAUGGAGCAAUACCGCGUGAGUGAAGAAGGUCUUCGGAUCGUAAAGCUCUGUUGUUAGAGAAGAACAAGAGGUGUAGUAACUGGCACCUCCUUGACGGUAUCUAACCAGAAAGUCACGGCUAACUACGUGCCAGCAGCCGCGGUAAUACGUAGGUGACAAGCGUUGUCCGGAUUUAUUGGGCGUAAAGCGAGCGCAGGCGGUCUUUUAAGUCUGAUGUGAAAGCCCACGGCUCAACCGUGGAGGGUCAUUGGAAACUGGAAGACUUGAAUGCAGAAGAGGAAAGUGGAAUUCCAUGUGUAGCGGUGAAAUGCGUAGAUAUAUGGAGGAACACCAGUGGCGAAGGCGACUUUCUGGUCUGUAAUUGACGCUGAGGCUCGAAAGCGUGGGGAGCGAACAGGAUUAGAUACCCUGGUAGUCCACGCCGUAAACGAUGAGUGCUAAGUGUUGGAGGGG
rnacentral:rRNA from 1 species